CACCCAGAUGAGCAGAAAUUAAUACCAAGAUUAACAUUAGACCAGCAAUCAAGAAGCAAAUAAUAUCCCAAUCAAGGAAUUACUAAGACCAUUCCCAUCAACAGGGCAAGCCACUAGUAUAUAAAAUGAGAGCAAACCCUACUCCCUGCUAACAUUGAUGAUGUUAUAAUGAAAUAUCUGCAAGACAAUAACAAAGCUCAGAGAGCACCAAGGACCCCCAAUUCAACCCUCAGCUACAAAUAUUCUCUUCUAAAGCUUGAAAAGAUAACCAAUUCCUGAAUGUGAAUUCCUGGGUUGUAGAUAGAAUCAGGAGAGAAAAAGAGAUGGCAAAUCACAAUAAGAAUUUUCCCUCCCUUCAUUUCCCUUAACCGUAUAGGAAUUCAAACCCUGCACUCAUGUGCUUCAGUUAAACAGUGUGGGGCUUCAGAUGGCCUUGAAAGAUAUGAACAAGGGCAUAACUGUGCAACAGGUGAGUAAUAAUGUUCCCUUAGAUCAGUGCUUCUCAACGUUUGUGUGACAGCGACCCCCGUCACACAAACGUGCCGCGCAUGCGUGGGGCUGCCCUCAUGAGCGGCGCCGCCCCCAUGAGCGGCGCGGCACCGCACGUAUGCGCGGCGGCGCCCCCAUGCGCAGCGUGCAUGCAUGGGGCCGCCCCAUGCGCGGCGCAUGUGCGCGGGGCCGCCCCCGUGCGCGGCGCGCGUGUGCGGCACCACCCCCCCGAGGGGGAAAAUGGCGGAUCGCCUUGUUUGGCGACCCCCGAGAAAUGGUCGAUCGACCCCAAAUGGGGUCGCGACCCAUAGGUUGAGAACCGCUGCCUUAGAUAACCACAGCAAUGUCAAGUCCAUCCUAGUAAUUGAAUAAAAUCAUAUAGCUGCCUCAUUGCUAUGAACUAAAGAGAAAUAUUAGUAUUUAAACAUUUUACUUUGUCAUUAAUAAUCAUAAAAAUGAAAGAAUUUCUGAUGGGUAUUCAAAUCACCCCAGCCACGUUUGAAUGUUUAAGAAUCAUUAUGUUCAUGUUUGCUUUAGGAUAGAAAAAACCACCCAACCAAAUGACAAUGGAAGAGGAGACUGUUACUGUAAUGCUUCUAAUCAGUUCUCAGAGACAUGAUACAGUAUAUGCCUGCAGAACUCCAAGCAGCAGAAGAAAAGUUUCUCUUUUUGAAAAAAUAUUGUCUUUUGCAACAUCAAAGCCCAAACCGAUGAAAGCAAACAAAUCAAAUCUAGAACUGAAGCCAUGUCAAUCAGAAGAUAGUUUAACUACUGCCUAACGGACAAGCCAGCGUGAAAUGAAAGAAGACCUUGAUUUGCUAAGAAGCAGCUGCAUCUCAACACUGGGUGAAAGGCACCAGUGAGUGGUGUGCAGGAUUAACCUGGCGAGCACUGGAAAACAGAAGCCUGUUUGUUUUCCUUUUGUAUUUGCAUGCCAAAUGGAACAAAUCAGAGAGAGAAAGAAUAACAUAGUUGGCCAGGAAGUAAAAGAAAGAGAUGGGAGUCAGUGAAGACAGCGAAUGAAGACAGCUCCUUUUAAAAUUGAGUUGGAUCCUUUCAGGAGCUUUUUCUCAUCUUGUCACUUCAUGAAGGAUUCCCACACCCAUUGUGAACAAUUAUAAUCCUUCUGGAAUUACUAUAAAAUUGUAGUCUAAUGAAUCUGGAGAUUGCUAGAUUGAAAGAUGUUACAAGAAAGCUGAGUCACACAUUAAUCCAGGCAGAAGAAAGAGGAGAAAAGUAAUGAACAAUGAAGACUGGAAAAAAAAGGUUGAAAAGCAAAACAGGAACAAUUUUUUUUGUCUGCAGUACCUACUUUCAUUUGUAAUAAAAAACAAAGGGCUUCUCAAUCAAUAAUGCUCUAUACACAUUCCUUUUUGUGCUGAAACCUGGUCUUUGAAUAAAUUGCUAAGGGCUGUACUUCAAAAAUGGGUGGAACCAAGAUAAGGAAAUAGGCAGGGCUUGGAUAAAUAUUAAAUAUUGUUAAAUUAAAUACAGCAAAUAUGAUUAUUCCUCAGUUAUGCAAUCAUUCUCUCUUGGGUUAUCUAAAUUAGGCAACAGAUGACUGAAACUCAUAAUCCUAACCCUUCAAAAUAAGGAUAUCAACAUAGUUAAUCAGAUUGUAUCAAUCUGUCUUUUAAAAAAUCGGAAUUUCAUCAAAGACAAAUCUCAAUAAUAAUUUUCAGAUACUUUCUUCAUUUUGAAUGAUUUAUUGUGUACAGAAUUUUCCAUAUAUGUCUCAGCAGCUGAUCUUUGUUGACUGCAUAACCAUGAUUUUAUCUCUGGUUGGGCACUGAAGUGAUUGAUAUGUUUUUCCAAAUGUUGAUGAAUAUUUUGCAUAUCAGGUGCAAGUUUCUAUCUUUUGUUGAAAUGUCAUUUAGCCCACAUUCUGCUUCAGCACUGUUAAUUACAACAGCACAUAUAGCACAUAUUAUCAUAUUGGCUCUAACUAUAGAUUCUGAAUCUAUAGUUCUUUUAGAAUCUAUGGUUCUUUUUAUAUUAUGGAGUCAUGAAUAUUGUUGGUAGAAAUGUCAAAAUUCAUCUUGUGAGAAGAUUUUAAGUAGGUUUUCUCUGUUAUACCAAAGGCAAAUUAUGUUUUUGGGCCAAGUAACUAUUUCUAGUAUAUUAAAGUAAGUUAUUCACAAUGUAGCAAGGAACAUUGUUUUUAAAAACACUGUUGAUAC